rnacentral:rRNA from 1 species
UACGGGGGGGGCAAGCGUUUGUUCGGAAUUACUGGGCGUAAAGGGCUCGUAGGUGGCCAACUAAGUCAGACGUGAAAUCCCCAGGCUCAACUUGGGAACUGCGUCUGAUACUGGAUGGCUUGAAUUCGGGAGAGGGAUGCAGAAUUCCAGGUGUAGCGGUGAAAUGCGUAGAUAUCUGGAGGAAUACCGGUGGCGAAGGCGGCAAUCCUGGACCGAUAUUGACACUGAUGAGCGAAAGCUAGGGGAGCGAAACGGG